GGAGAGUUUGAUCCUGGCUCAGGACGAACGCUGGCGGCGUGCCUAACACAUGCAAGUCGAGCGGUUCGGCACUCAGCCACUAGUGGUCAGUAGUUGCUAUGAGUUUUGGCAAUAGCUGAGGCAAGGAAGCAGCAACUGGCCAGUAGGGCUGAGUGCCGGAUAGCGGCGGACGGGUGAGUAACGCGUGGAUAACCUGCCUGUCAGACCGGGAUAACACCGGGAAACUGGUGCUAAUACCGGAUACGUUCACCGGGGCGCAUGCUUUGGUGAAGAAAGGGGCAACC
rnacentral:rRNA from 1 species